rnacentral:rRNA from 1 species
UACAGAGGGGGCAAGCGUUGUUCGGAAUUACUGGGCGUAAAGGGCGCGUAGGCGGCCUGUUAAGUCGAACGUGAAAUCCCCGGGCUCAACCCGGGAACUGCGUCCGAUACUGGCAGGCUUGAAUCCGGGAGAGGGAUGCGGAAUUCCAGGUGUAGCGGUGAAAUGCGUAGAUAUCUGGAGGAACACCGGUGGCGAAGGCGCAUCCUGGACCGGGCAUUGACGCUGAGGCGCGAAAGCCAGGGGGAGCAAAACGGGG